GCAGAUCGCCAUUUCCCGUGAUCCCGCUGAGGUUACUGCUAUCGAGAUUCGACUAAGCCAUGCGAGUCGAAUGUAGCAAUACAUGGCGUACUGCUCAGUAACACGUGACAACCUACCCUCCGGACGGGUAUAACCCGGGAAACUGGGUAUAAUCCCCGAUAGAUCUCGGUCGCUGGAAUGCCCCGAGAUCGAAAGCUCCGGCGCCAGAGGAUGGGUCUGCGGCCUAUCAGGUAGUAGUGGGUGUAGCGUACCUACUAGCCUACGACGGGUACGGGUUGUGAGAGCAAGAGCCCGGAGAUGGAUUCUGAGACACGAAUCCAGGCCCUACGGGGUGCAGCAGGCGCGAAAACUUUACAAUGCCGGCAACGGCGAUAAGGGGACCUCGAGUGCCAGGUUACAAAUCUGGCUGUCGUGAUGCCUAAAAAGCAUUGCAUAGCAAGGGCCGGGCAAGACCGGUGCCAGCCGCCGCGGUAACACCGGCGGCUCGAGUGGUAACCGUUAUUAUUGGGUCUAAAGGGUCUGUAGCCGGCCGGAUAAGUCUCUUGAGAAAUCCAGCAGCUCAACUGUUGGGCUUUCAGGAGAUACUGUUCGGCUCGAGGCCGGGAGAGGUGAGAGGUACUUCAGGGGUAGGGGUGAAAUCUUGUAAUCCUUGAAGGACCACCAGUGGCGAAGGCGUCUCACCAGAACGGACCUGACGGCAAGGGACGAAAGCUAGGGGCACGAACCGGAUUAGAUACCCGGGUAGUCCUAGCCGUAAACGAUACUCGCUAGGUGUCGGCCACGGUGCGACCGUUGUCGGUGCCGUAGGGAAGCCGUGAAGCGAGCCACCUGGGAAGUACGGCCGCAAGGCUGAAACUUAAAGGGAUUGGCGGGGGAGCACCACAACGGGUGGAGCGUAAA
rnacentral:rRNA from 1 species